AAAUUUUUAUGGAGGGAGUAGUUCUGCCACAAUUGGGAAAUAAAGGGUCGAAUUUUCAUUUCACAAAAAAUUUGGCUAAGACGUGAAGAAACAAAUCAAGAGAGCGAGGGUGAAGAGUGGUGGUUUAAGGCUUCUCCAAAAUCGUGGAGGCCUUAAACACCUCAAUCGAUUCAAACACUUAUUCACUUUCUUCAAAAAUAUUUCCGCCCUUCAAAUUCGCCGAGAUAUACUACUAUUAUUUUGCAAAUACAAUAAUUAGUAUAUAUAGAAUUAAAAAGGCAAAAAGAAGAUGAGUGGUGUGAUUGGUCCGACGGCGGCAACGAGACGCAGCAGUAUGGCCCAGAAGCGCAACCCCUCCUCCACCGUGAAGCGGUCUUCGGGGCCUUCAUCGGAGAACGGCUCCGCCGCUAAUGGCACCAACGUCAAGCCCUCUUCCCCUCCUCACUUGUAAGUUUAUUAUUUUUAAGAAAAGAGAUGAAUACGAAUUGCCCGUUUAUAGCUUUGCACAUGUUGCUCUUCGCAUUUUUUCUCUGACGUCGUUUGAUGGAAUGAGAUUUGAGCUGGUUAAUGUUGAAGUAAUCGAUGGUGUAAAUCCUUGAAUUGGAUUUUCUGUUGAUUUCCCGUAGAUGGCAUAGCUGGUGAACUAGUUCAGGUUUAGGUGCCGUUGACAUAUUAAUGGGAAGUGAUUUGGUUCAUAUAACUAAGAGGGUGAUUGGCUAAGCUUAUUUUAAAGAGCUUAUAAGAGGUUUGAAGAGCUUAAAAGUUUUUUAAGAGCUUAUAAGUUGUUAAAGUGCUUGGAUAAUUGAGCUUAUAAGCUAUAGAGAGACUUUUUAGUUAUAGAGAAAAAUCGUAAAGAGAUGAAAUUAGAAUGAUAUAUGAUGAAAAUAAAAAAUCAUAAUUAAGUUAUUUUUGUAAAAUGAGUAUAACUUAUAAGAUAAUGAGAAAAUAAGUUGGGGUAAAGAAAUUUAUUUUUUGGGAGCUUAUAAGCUCUUAGAGCUUGUUUUUACAUAAGCUCUUUAGGAGCUUAUUUUGGCAAACACUUUUCGAAGGAGUUUAUAAGCUCCUAAACAGCUUAUAAGCUUAAAGAGCUUAUAAGCUCAGCGAAACACCCUCUAAAUCAUAGAUCGUAAUGGCAGUGGCAAUAGGAAUUAUAGGAUUGAUUCUGAAUUAAUGAGGAUUUAUUGUAUGAGCAACUUUUUAGGUUUCGAGUGUUGAUGUACACAAAUUUUCCCAUCACAAUCUGUUGGAAAUUUUGGGUGUUUAGUGGGGGUUGGGGAGGGGGUGGGGUUACUGUGUUUCAAAAUGUCUAGUUUUUCUCUAAAUAGUAUAUUAUCUUUUCAUGCUUUAAUUUUCACUGCCAAUUGCUUAAAAUNGGGCAAAGUCUUGUCAAAUUAAAUAUAUAGUCCAAGUUCCCACUUCAGAUUUUUAAUUUUAAAAUACUUUCUUGCCUUUAUAAAUUUUUAUGGAGGGAGUAAUUUUGCCACAAAUGUAUAAAAAAUGGAAACCACAAAGAAAUUUUUAUGGAGGGAGUAGUUCUGCCACAAUUGGGAAAUAAAGGGUCGAAUUUUCAUUUCACAAAAAAUUUGGCUAAGACGUGAAGAAACAAAUCAAGAGAGCGAGGGUGAAGAGUGGUGGUUUAAGGCUUCUCCAAAAUCGUGGAGGCCUUAAACACCUCAAUCGAUUCAAACACUUAUUCACUUUCUUCAAAAAUAUUUCCGCCCUUCAAAUUCGCCGAGAUAUACUACUAUUAUUUUGCAAAUUCAAAUUAUUAGUAUAUAUAGAAUUGAAAAGGCAAAAAGAAGAUGAGUGGUGUGAUUGGUCCGACGGCGGCAACGAGACGCAGCAGUAUGGCCCAGAAGCGCAAC
rnacentral:lncRNA from 1 species